UUUCGAGGACAAUCAAUAAAAUUAGAGUACGGCUCUCAAGAUUUGGGGUUGUUUGAUCCCUUUUGUCCUUCAGGAUUAUUCUUACUGUAUGCCAUUCACAGACCUCCGAGAAAGAUUGAGGACCUGAUAGGUGAAAUAUUUCCUCCACGGAAAACUUUUCCUCCCUCAACGGUGAUCAGAAUCAUUCCCAAUCGGUACCCCUCAUCCAAAAAUGCUCCAAGGACAAUGGAUGGUUGAUAGAAUGUAAACAAAAAAGCUUCCUAUAAUCAGAAACAAUUUAGAAAACUUCUGAUGGUGUAUACCCCUUAUGAGGCGAUAUGUGAAGUCUUAUGAUAAUUUUAACUCAUAGCGCCAUCUGUGCUUAGCUUUGCACUGUCAAACAUCCAUUGAACAUGUUAAUAACUGUAACUUUGAUUCCUGGCUGCCAUAUUUGUUUCUUAAACUUGUCUUGUCCUCUAGUAGGUUAUCAGCAGUGACUUUGUGUAUUAUUCCAGCCUUCUUAAAAUAAAAAUUAUGGCUGAAAAACUUAAGGUUCACGCUGAAGCUCCACCUGAGGAGGAAGAAGAAGAGGAUUUGGUUGAUCCUAUGGAAGAGGUUAGAGAUAAAUGUAUUCAAAAGCAUUGUGCUAAUUUCUUGGAGAAAUUCAACGAGUGCACUGAACGGGUUACGAGCCGAAAGAAAACUGAAGAAACUUGUGUGGAAGAACUUGUUGAUAUGUUACACUGCAGAGAUCACUGUGCAUACAAAGAAGUAUUCAAACAUGUGAAAUAACAUCUUCCAAAUGGAAAAAUUUCAUCUUCAACUACAAUUGCUAAAUGAUAAUACAUCCAGGAAAGACAAUUAUUAGUUAGGGAUUUAAACAUGAAAUGUUAAGUUGAAAAAAGAAAAAGAGUAUAUUGCUGUCAAGAAAUCUCUCAUUUUUCGUAAUAUUUAUCAAACCCUGUUAUAGUAAAUUUGCAUUUUUAAUUUUGUUUCCAUUUAUAUUAGUCAUGUUAUUUUCUGCAAAAUUAUUCUUAGACAAUUAAAUUCUCUCAAAAAAUA